rnacentral:rRNA from 1 species
UACGUAGGGUGCAAGCGUUGUCCGGAAUUAUUGGGCGUAAAGAGCUCGUAGGCGGUCUGUCGCGUCGGAUGUGAAAACCCAGGGCUCAACCCUGGGCCUGCAUUCGAUACGGGCAGACUAGAGUUCGGUAGGGGGAGACUGGAAUUCCUGGUGUAGCGGUGAAAUGCGCAGAUAUCAGGAGGAACACCGGUGGCGAAGGCGGGUCUCUAGUACGUGACUGACGCUGAGACGCGAAAGCGUGGGGGAGCGAACAGG